UGGGGAAUUUUGGACAAUGGGCGCAAGCCUGAUCCAGCCAUGCCGCGUGCAGGAUGAAGGCCUUCGGGUUGUAAACUGCUUUUGUACGGAACGAAAAGACUCCUUCUAAUAAAGGAGGUCCAUGACGGUACCGUAAGAAUAAGCACCGGCUAACUACGUGCCAGCAGCCGCGGUAAUACGUAGGGUGCGAGCGUUAAUCGGAAUUACUGGGCGUAAAGCGUGCGCAGGCGGUUAUGCGAGACAGAGGUGAAAUCCCCGGGCUCAACCUGGGAACUGCCUUUGUGACUGCAUAGCUAGAGUACGGUAGAGGGGGAUGGAAUUCCGCGUGUAGCAGUGAAAUGCGUGGAUAUGCGGAGGAACACCGAUGGCGAAGGCAAUCCCCUGGACCUGUACUGACGCUCAUGCACGAAAGCGUGGGGAGCAAACA
rnacentral:rRNA from 1 species